UUUGAUAGAAUAGAUCAAAGCUUUGGUUUCUAUGAUCGUUCUUACAUAAGAAACUGUGACCAUGAGAAUUUUUUAUGCCUUUCUUUCCAGAUGACGAUACUAGCAUGGGUCCAGACAUAUCCGAGGUAUCAGUCUAUCCAUCUAUCCUUGAGUUCUUUAGCGAUUUAACAACGAUUUCUUCUUUGAUUCUUCCCAGGAGGAACCAUCUCUUUCAUCAUCGAAGCUAACGGAGGACAACGAUGGAGAAGAACAGGUAAUCCACAGUAUCGGGCUCUCGAUUUGAUUUAACUUUGAUCGGUUCAUAGACUGGAUCCGAGUGUGAGGUGACCCAAAAGGACGACGAGGACGAUCACAGCGACGAGGACGAAGACAAUGGCGGGCGCGAGAGCUCGGACGUGGACGACGGUGGCAAGAACGACGACGACGAGGAUGGCGGCGGCGGCGGCGGCGGCGAUGGCGAGGAGGAAGCCGGAGGGGGCGACGAUCCAAGCUACGAGGAAGAGGAAGGAGAAGAGGACGAGGAAGAAGAAGUGGAGGAGGACGAUGGGGAUGAGCCCUACGAGGAGGAGGAAGAUGACGAGGAAGACGAAGAAGACGAGGAAGAUAACAAUGACGAAGACGAGGAGCCUCCCAAGAAGCGAAAGAAGUGAAACGGGCAAAAAGGAGUUUAGGGUUCUUCUUUUUAAGAGACAAUUUGAUUUUAGGGUUUCUUAGCGAAUAUUAUCAAGAAUAUGCUUUUAAAAAUUUUGCCCAAACCCUAAGUAAACUUUCUCUUUAGCAAGAAAAGUUGACAUUUGAC
rnacentral:lncRNA from 1 species